GAGAGAAGAAGAAGAGAAGGUGAAUUUCCCGUCUCUCUACCUCAUUUUCUUGAUGUAUCCCAUUUGAAACCAUUUUCUUAUUAAUGAGCCUUUUGGCUUCAACAGCUUUGAGGGUUUAAUUUCUGGUGAUGCUUGUUACUGUUGUACGAUGUUCUACUUCGAUGCAAUUAUCUAAUGUUGAUAUGUUAAUUUCAUGAUAUAUAGCUGUAAUUUGUAUUUAUAGGUAUGGGUUUAUUAAAUUCUGUUGCUGUGAAUUCUCAAUGAGAUCUAUUUGAAUUGGCCUCGUCAUCUUUUUC
rnacentral:misc_RNA from 1 species